rnacentral:lncRNA from 1 species
CAACAGAGAAGCCAACACAACUGCGUUCUUGGAACCUGCUUUGGAAGUUUCCAAGUUGGACGGUGAGCUCAGAGCAGGGAGCCCUGAUCUCUGGAUAAUCAUUAAAACUCAGGCCCAGACAAGUUAGAGAGCAGGCCAGGAAAACAGGAGCAGGAAGAAUUGGGAGCAGAUUUUAUAAAGAAUGGAGGACCAAAAGCAAAGCUGCCCUCCAUCCCGGAAGAGUCCGAAGGACCUUCUACAAAAUGAGGGACUCACGUGGCCUCAGACUCGCUCUCUAGCCAAGGGUAACCUCUAACUUGCUGAGCCUCUAGGAAGACCACAGCAGAUACCCAAGCUCUCUGCAAAAGCUCCUCAAAUUCCAAUCUCUUCUGGACCCUUCAAGUGCUGGGAUUGCAGAAUGCAGGUGCAUGCUUCUGGGUUUAUUGACCCUGUCUGUGCCCUAAGCCUGGAGCCAGCUGGACUUUCUGGAACCCUGGGCAUCUCUGAUGUCAUGAAAGUUUGCCUCAAAGGUGCCAGGAGGGAUUUCUCAGAAGGGGUGACAUGCUGAAGGCACUCAGUAUACAACCCAGAAAGCCAGGGCGUUAAGUCUGUUCUUGGCAUUAGAUGGUGGAAACUUGAAGAGCCACAGAGGAAAGUGCCCUGCCCAAAUUCCAGAAUGGAGAAAGAGCUGGAAAGUAAUGUCUGCAUGCUGAGUGCGGUAGCACACACCUUCAAUGCCAGCGUUCAACCAGAGGCAGAAGCAGGUGGAUCUCUGUUUGGAGCUAGCCUCACCUACAUAGGGAGUUCCAGGAAAGCCAGUGCUACCUAAUAGAGAGAACCUGUCUCAAAAAAAAUAGAUAAUGUGCAUAUAUGUGUAUACACAUGUAUACACACAUACAUAUAGAUCAUUUAUUUGAAAAGGUAUGAGCUGAGUGUGUAUGUCUUAUGCCUGUAAUCCCAACACUUUGGCUGCUGAAGCAGGAGGAUCACCAAGAGUUUGAGGGCAUCGUGUUGUGGUCUGACCCCAUCCCCCAAGAAUAGCUGUAGCUGUUUUGUUUGUUCCAUGCCUACCAGCUAUUUCAUAUUGUUGCUGUAAUAUGCAUGCCAGUCAUUGGCUGGCUCACAGCAAGGUCAUGCUGACCACAUGCCCUGUUAUGUUCUGAGUUAUCUGAGGUUUGUUAAUCUUAAGAAAUUCCACAAAGUUUUAUAUAGGACCCAUCAAGUUAAAGGUCAAUAUGAACAGUUAAGUCUAAAAUGCCUUGAGUCAGUGCUGACCACUGGGUAACACUACCUGCACCUGCAUAUGAGCUCAGUGUGUGUGUGUGUAUGUGUGUGUGUGUGUGUGUGUGUGUUUCUUUAUAAGCCCACCCUGAGAACAGACUGGUACCCCAAUUAGGUUCUCGAUUCCUUUUUGUGGUCCUGAUCUACUCAGUACCAGGGUGUGUGUUCAAUAAACUAUUCAUGCUUAAAUGAGAUUGGUGUUCAUAUGGUUUGUGUGGCGAUUCCUGAACCCCAACAAUCACAGGCUAUGAAGUGAGCUUCAGUCAAAACUGGGCACGGUGUCUCAUGUCUAUAAUCUCAGCACUCCGGAGUUGGAGGCAUGCCAGGCAUGGAGUUGUGUCUCUUCAAUCUCAGCAUUCACUCAGGAGGCAGAGGAAGGUAGAUCUCUUGCCUGACAAAUGCAAGGCCUAGGGGUUGAUUCCCAACCUUAAAGAAACAGUAGUUGGAUUGGAGACUAGAGGCACAGGCAUGUAGAAUAUUCUGGUAAAUAACUCGAUGUCAAUGCCUUUGCUCAAAACUGGAGCCGCUGGCACCUCACUGCAGGAAUGGUGAGAGGAAGUGGACUCUCCCACUUUGAGGUUGUGUCCUGAAUAGACUAACAUGUAGCAUCCUGCACCAUGUCCCUCACCAGCCUCUGCAGAGCAACUUAACAACAGAAGGAUCACCAGAAAGCUCAAGGACCCACUAACCAAGAAUAUACACUGAGAAACAGUAAGGGGGCCUGCCUCAAUAAGGCUCAAAGAGACAACUGAUUUCACAAAGGUGUUCUCUGACAUCCCCCCCACCCCACCCCCACACACAGACAUGCAUGCGCAUGUGUACUAGGGAAGAGAGAGAGAGAGAGAGAGAGAAGAGAAGAGAAGAGGCACUCAUCUAUCUCUGCUUACUGCUGGAGGGUUUAAAGCCACCAGCUGCCUCAGGCUCCUGCCCCAACACCUUUCCCACCAAGAUGGAUGAAUACUCAAACCAUUCUAUGUAUUGGACUACCAAAUUCUAUAACUGGAUGGUCUAGGCCUAUGAGUGACUUCUUCUUUGCAAGCUGGUUAGAUAAAAUCAGCUACAGCCAGUUACUGGAGGAAUUAGAGGCAGGUGGGUUUGGAGUGCUCUGAUUGGAGGAGGAGAGACCAAGAGGGAAAGAAAGAGGAAGAAGAAGGAGUCAACUCCCUCUUGCCAGUGUUUGUAUCCGGGGAAUCCGCACUGAGCUCAGGUCUUUGGAAGUGGAGCAAGAAAAACAAAACCAGAGGAAGGGGUGAGAGAAAAAAAAGCAAAUGGGGAACUGAAAAAUUAUUGAAGGGCUGGUGAGGUGACUCAGUGGAAAAAGGAGCUUGCUGUCAAGUCUGAAGACCAGAGUUCAAUUCCCAGGACCCACCUGGUGGAAGUUGUCUUCAAACUGCCCCAUGAAUAUUCAAACACAAGCAUGUAUAUUCAUACAAAAUAAAUAAAUAUAAUUUAAAAAAAUAAACGGCUG